AUUGAACGCUGGCGGCAGGCCUAACACAUGCAAGUCGAACGAGCGGCAGACGGGAGAGUAAUGUCUGGAACUUGCCCAGUCGAGGGGGAUAACAGUGGAAAACGACUUCAAAUACCGCAUCCGAUCGGAUUGCACAGGUGGGGUUAGCUAGUGGGUGAGGUAAUGGCUCACCAAGGAGUCGCUCCCUAGCUGGUCUGAGAGGAUAACCAGCCAAACUGGAACGGAGAAACGGUCCAGACUCCUACGGGAGGCAGCAGUGGGGAAUAUUGCACAAUGGGGGAAGACCUGCUGCAGCCAUGCGGCGUGUGUGAGGAAGGCCUUCGGUUUGUAAAGUACUUUCAGCGAGGAGGCGUUACUCGCAGAAGAAGCACCGGCUAACUCCGUGCCAGCAGCCGCGGUAAUUC
rnacentral:rRNA from 1 species